UAUGAGUACAAAAGUGUUCAUAAUAAUAUCAGAUCAUACAUCAAGCUGAUCAUCAACUCAUAUUUUUCCCCUUAAUUAUGACCACUUGGUCUUUUUAUAGAUCCACUUCAGAGGAUUACAAAUAUAGUACUAUUACUAUAUACUUGACUUUAAGUUGCUUUUUAGAGCAAUUAUUUAAGUUCUUGAUAUCAAGCAGAACAAUCCAUACAUAUUAACGUGAAAUGGACGUAGGUCGUUUCAAUUAGUAUGGACUUUCGCCUCUAUAAUUACCUGGAGGAUCAUAGUUGCAAGAGACAACAUAUCCUCCAUUGUUACACUGAACCCUAGCACAUCCAACACGAACCGAGUUACGCCAAACCACCUGAGUAUAGUGUCCACACACCUGUCCUUGUGCACAAGUAUUUGAGUCAUGGUCAUAAUACUGUUUCUCAUCGACCCACAUCUCAACGGCCUUAGCAGCCGUCAUGAAAUCGCCACUUCCCUCAGCUAGGUUUUCGCCGUAUUGACCAUGAGAAUGUACGAGGUUACAAUCUGCAGCCAAUUGGGAAGCAUAAUUUUGCGCAUAGGCUGCUACCUGGUCGUCCCAGGUCAAAGGUUCUACACCUACAUCUGCACGAGCUGUGUUAUGGGCAUCCAAAUAGUCUUGUUGAGAAUUUUGGGCACGGCAAGAGUGGGAUAUUACUAGGAAUAAGAGAAGUGUAGAGACAAGAAGAAAUGAAGGCAAUUGUGAAAAGAGAACAAAU
rnacentral:lncRNA from 1 species